UGGUGCCUUCGCCGCCCGAGCGCUGGGAUCCGGGUGGCGGCCCCUCGGCCUCUGCAGCCGCUGGGCCGCGGCCGGGGCUGCGAACCGAGCGGGGAGAAGGGCGGGGACCAAAGGGCCGGCGCCGGUAAUGGGGGCACGGCGACGCGCUCCUGCUCCGGGGGAUUCCCGACCCACAGGCUCAGUCCCAGUCGCCAGGGCCCCAGCCGCCUGCGCUGCAGGCUCGGUUUCCCUAAGCCUCUCGGGGUGCGAGCGGCGCACUACACAGGCUCCGGGCUCCAGCCAGCGGAGGGAUCCCGGGCUAAGGGCGGGAAGGUGUGCGUUGCACGACCUCCCUCUCAUGCCCGCCCAGAUCCGCCGGGUCUCUGAGGCUGGAGUGCGCCUCGCGGUCUUCACUCACCCCAGUUAACCAAUGCCCUGUCCCCGCGCAGGAGGCGCAAACCACUGAAAACCGCAGCGUGGAGCUGAGGUGUCUUUUCUCCCCGGGAAAAUUUCUCUGGCGACCGCAGCCUGGGUGAGGCAGCAAAGGGAACACUGCCCAAAACUCAGGGUGAAGACUUAGCCACAAGCUCUUUCCGACUUCUCCGGUGACCUUGGGCGCCUCGUCUAAACAAAGUGUCUCCGUCCGAAUUUCCUGGUCCUGGGGAUAAACGUGGCCAUUCACUUUCUAACUCUCAGGACACAAAUAGCAAUUGCGCUUAAAAAAACAAGGUAAAAUACCCUAGACUUCUUUAAUAUAGAUAUAAUUUGCAUCGACUUUAGGCAAGGCUGAGGGGAACCUCGGCACUGGGAAGAAAAGGGUUCGAAUUUGUGAGUCGCAAUGCAAAACUAGUCCCACUGCCUGCUUUCCUGGGAAGGUAGGUUUUUGAAGAGAUUGGCGGGAAGGUCCUCUCUUCUCUCAGACUUGCCAAGAGCCCCCGUUCGCCCCAUCAAGAACAUUCAGCUUUACUAAAGAGCUUCACGAUGGAACUGGUUGCGUCCUUCUGGCCAACCAUAACUAAGGGUCAAAGGGCAGUCACCACCUUCAGGCUAAAGGCUCUUCCAGGACGUGUUGACCUGAAAUAAAGAGGUGGCCAGAUAUUUCUCCAGCAAAGAUGGAUUUAUUCCAGAUCAGCAGAGAAUUGCAACCAUGAAGAGACACAUGCAAGUCCCCAUGCAGCAAGGAAGGAGGACCGUUUCAUAGUGGAGAAAAGGAAGUUGGGAGGGCUGAAGUAAACAGUCCAUGGCUUUUCAUUGGCUGAAUCCUUGCCAAGGAAGAAGAGUUCGUCUUCUAACUGUUGAUCUUCGCAGUCAUCGCGGGGCACGAGAGCUCCCCCUUCUGGUCUCUCGACUCUAUUUAAUUGAGAUUUCUGUUCAGUAAUUUUUUACAGGCUCCACUUGUUUAUUGCUUUGUUCCUGCUAUCUUAUUCACAAAGCCCCAAAGGAUGCACAGGGAUAGAGGGAGGUGAGUCUUCCAGGUGCCUCUGCCCCUCCACCUCAAGAUUCUUGGAAGAAAUAGGAUGUAAGCAAUGAUUUGGGGAACAGCAAGUGGUGUGUGGAAGAGAGAGGGGAGCAAAGCAU